UACGAAGGGGGCUAGCGUUGCUCGGAAUUACUGGGCGUAAAGCGCACGUAGGCGGCUUUCUAAGUCGGGGGUGAAAGCCCAGGGCUCAACCCUGGAAUUGCCUUCGAUACUGAGAGUCUUGAGUUCGGAAGAGGUUGGUGGAACUGCGAGUGUAGAGGUGAAAUUCGUAGAUAUUCGCAAGAACACCAGUGGCGAAGGCGGCCAACUGGUCCGAUACUGACGCUGAGGCGCGAAAGCGUGGGGGAGCAAACAGG
rnacentral:rRNA from 1 species